ACCUGCUCUGCUUCCUCCCUCCCCCACCAACCCCUACCGCCGCCGCCGCCGCCGCCGCAGUCACCGUUCCCCACCCCUCCCCGGUCGGCCUCCACUACGCGCUCCACGGCCGAAGGGGGCGUAACACCGGCACCCUUCCUCGCCCCUCCUCCUAGUCCUAGGCCAGCUCCCUCCCUCACACACACUCUCCCUUCCAUGGCGGAUCGGCACGGCGAGGGCGGCGUGGCCUCGGCGCGGCGGCCGGGGCGCACAGACUUGGACGACCCAUCGGCAGCGCGUGCAGGCGCACCUCCCGACCUCGACGCAGGUGGUGGGCCUCCUGACCCUGCUCAUCGCCGGCGCAGCGCUGCUGCCUGCUGGUGCUGGCGGGGCUGACCCUCACGGGCGCAGUGGUGGCGCUCGUCUUCCUCGGCCCGCUGGCUGGCGCUGCUGACCAGCCCCAUCUGGGUGCCGUUCGCGUUCGCGCUCCUAGUGGUGGCCGCCGCGGCGCUCUACUUCACCACCCUACUGUUGUGAAAAUUGAUAAACUUGAUCUCAUGCUUGUAGAGAAGGAUGAUUCAGAAAAUCUUUCCAGCCCUACCAGGUUGUGAUUUUGUGCCAUCAUAUGACCAUUCAGUAACUGAUGUUCUUUUCUCAACUUCUUUAAAAGCACUGGAUAUGGACAUGCUUAUAAGAUUGGUUUCACUGCACUUGAUGUUCAGUAAUAGCUAAUAGGUACUUAGACAUUCAAAAAAAAUAUCUGUAAGUCCCGUCACUCAGAGCUGCUUCUGUUAAAAUGGUGAUUAUAUUGUUAAAUCAUCCAGAUAGUUCAUGUUAUUCAUCAUAGCUAAUUUAAAUCUUUCUAGGCUCUGUUUUCUGCUUUAUAGUCUGUUUUUUCCCGUGUGUGCAUGUCUGCACCUUUUGUUUUACUAAUAAUUUUUAUAAAUUGUAUAACAGUUUCUUACUAUGGAUCACAUGCAAAUUUAUUGAAGCAAUAUACCCUUACAAAAUCUGAAGUAAUAUGGUAUACUGGGCUUAGAUUGCAAAUGGCAUGACUGUACAAGUACGCUGUGGACCUGGUAUUGGAAACACUUGGAAAGUCUGAACACUUAUUUGCAUAUUCAGUUUCAUUUCUGAUGACAAAUGGGGCUAAACCUUUUUCUUUUGUCCUGAAAUUACCUUUAGGCCUUUUCUGGUGACUUACUUGCAUAUUUAGUUUUUUCCUAUUAUUUGUUUAGAGAGUAAAACUGGAUGCAUCAUUAAGGACAGGAAUUUUAGUUCCUAAUUUCUUUUCAGGUCACCUCCGCUAGCAGCUAUAACAUUUCGUAAUUUUGUACGGUACACAAAAAACGAAAAAUGGGGUGCUUUGGGCAGCUAAGGCUCUUAAAUUUGGUCAUAGAUGGACUGUAGGAAAAGGAACCAAGAUCAGGUUUUGGGAAGACAAUUGGUUUGGCGCUUCCCCUUUAUCUGUUCAAUUUUGGCCUCUAUAUUCUAUUUGUCACCAACAGUGUGUGUCUGCAGCUGAUGUUUGGGAUGGUCAAAACAGCAAACUUACUUUUUGUAGGAUCUUUAACCCUGCCAUGAUGGAAGAUCGGUACUGCCUAGAGCAGAUCAUCUUGGGAAUUGCCUAUACUGAUUGUGAAGAUGCUCUCAUUUGGCAAUAUAUGAACUAAAGGCAAAUACACUACUGGUUCCCUCUACAGUAUUAUUAACUUAGAGGGGUUAAACCUAUCUUUAUUCCCUCAGUUUGGUCUAUUGUGGUGCCCCCAAGAGUGCAGGUUUUCUUAUGGUUUUUAUCCCACAAUAAACCUAUGACAAAAGACAAUCUCAGUAAGAGGGGGAUUGAAAACCUCCCUGAGUGUGUCUUCUGUUCAGAACAAGGAACUAUUACACACCUUUCUUUGAUUGUGUGGUCGAUAAAAACAUGUGGCAACACAUCUGUAAUUUCUUUGUAAUUAGUCUGGGAGAUGACUUCCUUUCAUUUGCCAGAUACUGGCCUGCUAGUAAGAAUCACACUGCUAUUAAUUCUGUCUGUGCAUGUGCUUAUGGAGUAUAUGGAAGAUUGGAAAUUCCCAUAUCUUCAAAAAUGCCAUGUGGACUGACAUGAAUAGUUUGGUGUAUGAUACAGGUGACUAUCAGGCGGUGGAUGAUCCUUUUCAAAAAACAUCAUUUGGAGGGGCUGAAAAAAAAUGUCCAAUAUGAUAAAUCAGCUCAUACAAACCCCCUUCAGGCUGGGGGUGGGCUGAUCUAUGGAGGAGUGACGCAGCUGGGCAAUGCAGAGGGGCUGGAGAGGUCAAUGCUCAACAAGCUGUCGCUGUUUUCAAAACCUGCAGAUGGCAACGAACCUUCCUCUCCUCACGGAAGAGAUUGGAACCUCAAGCAUGUGGUGUCCAGCCCAACUACGCCGCUAGAUCUUACUGCUUCUCCAACACAAUCCCCUCUGAAGAAGAAGGGGGCUGAAACAGUCUGGAAAUGAAGAUGGACUUCGGCUAUGAACCUAACUCCAUUGCAAUCGUUUCCUAGAUUGUCAUCUUUCUCGUUUUUAAUUUGGCUUUAGUUUUUGCUUUUCAAUCUGCUCAAGCUGCGGCCUAAUGAGCUGUAAUAAUCAGUAGAACUUUGCUAGAUGUUUUUAGUUUUCCCUUCGGAUGCGCUGUAUCUCUGGUUUCGUUCAAGCAAUGGAACCAGGGGGGCUUUGGCCCUCCUAGUAGUCUAAAAAAACGAAAAAUAAAAUGGCAGUUGUUCUUGCUAGAUUAAAGUUGCACUUGAAAUUGUAAAAUCAUUGUUUUCAGCCACUUGAUUGAAAUGUCGUUUAUAUAGGUUGUAAAUUUGAAAGAAGCAAGGGAUUUCUCCAGGAGCACAGGAUUCAUUUAUGCUUUCAUCGUUUGAUACUCUCCUAGUUUAUCCGAGCAAAUUAAUGUCUUCUUGUGCUGUCAGCUAAUGUACUAGGACAUAAUCAAUGAAGAAUAGUAUACACAAUUUCUGAUCUCCCAUAUUUUUUGUCUAACUUCACAGAAAUUGGAAUGGCAGUUACUUUCAGUUGAUCUUUUACCCAACCCUGACAUGUUUGCCGAUACAUGAUUUAACUCUUCAAGCAGUCAAGAUAACAAGCGAGAUGAUGAUAGCAAAGCAAAUGUUCUUUGGUGGUGAAAAGUUUUUGGCAGGAAUAUCAGGGGAUUCUAAUGUGAGUGUCUCUAUCUCGAAUAUGAUUUGUCAACUUUGAGAAUUUGUUAAUUGAUGUUUUAAGUUCGUCAUGUCUUGGCUUCCUCGCUUAUAAAUUUUGUCGAGCAUCAGAUAACUCUGCAACGAACGGAGCAGAACAGUCCACUUGUCCUGGAGGUUCAGCUACAUGUUACUGAAGCUCUCUGUCCUGCUUUAAGUGAACCUUGUAACAGUUAUGGACCAUAAAACUUUAGCUUGUCGCUCAGUUCCUGUUUGUAUCAGUCAAACCUGAAACGCAUUUUUGUCAGGUUUAUGGGCCUUUCUUUGAUUCAUGACUGGGGUAUCUGCGUGCUUAGAUAGAGCAGAUUUAGAUCCUAAGUCUCAACAGAAGCAGCAGGAUCUUCCAUGGUAAACAGACUUCCUUUGCAUUGAAGAUGCUGGGUAGCAUUUCAGACAGGGAGAGUUCAAAAAACUCGUCUUGCAUAAAGGUUGCUGGGCUGUUUCUGAGGACAUGAUGGUGGUCCAGGAGAAGGCCUCUUGAGAGGACUGAAGGAUUUAUCUUCUGGUCCACUUGGGAAACUUUUCACACCAUCUCACGUCACUGACAAGGAAGAAGGAAGAUCCGAAGACAAUGACAGCAAUUCAAAGUUUGAUCUGGGGGUGCCAGAUGAUCUUGUUGUGUCAGUUGUUCUGUUAAGAAACUGGUUGUUCGCACUUGAAGGGACAGAAGAAGCACGCGAUUGGUCUUCCCCUCGUAGUGGUGAUCCUAUUGGUAGGGAUGAUAAAUGUGUGGAGGAACGUCGUACCCAUCCUGGGCGACGACUGCGUGUUAAUAUAGGCCAGGGCGCGACUCCUGGCAUAGCGUACAAGGUUGUUCAGAUUACAUGGAGACUUGGAGAGAAAGAGAUAAAGAGAUAAGAGGAGAUUACAACCAUAUGACAACUAACUAGAGAUCCUAGUCUAGCUUGGUUUGGACUCAUCCACCGAUGCAACCUGAACAUAUGUCACGGUGCAACAUGUGUCGUUCAACACCCUCCCUUAAUAACUUUGUUAAGUUGAGAUUACGCUUGAAUUCUUCAAAGUUUCUUGUGGGCAAGGCUUUGGUGAAUCCAUUUGCAACC